UACGUAGGGGGCGAGCGUUGUCCGGAAUCAUUGGGCGUAAAGAGCGUGUAGGCGGUUCGGUAAGUCUGCCGUGAAAACCUGGGGCUCAACCCUGGGCGUGCGGUGGAAACUGUCGAGCUAGAGGAUGGUAGAGGGGAGUGGAAUUCCCGGUGUAGCGGUGAAAUGCGUUGAUAUCCAACGGAACUCCGGUGGCGAAGGCGAGGUGCUGGACCCUUUCUGACGCUGAGGCGCGAAAGCCAGGGGAGCGAACGGG
rnacentral:rRNA from 1 species